rnacentral:rRNA from 1 species
CUACGGGAGGCUGCAGUGGGGAAUUUUGGACAAUGGGCGCAAGCCUGAUCCAGCCAUUCCGCGUGAGUGAAGAAGGCCUUCGGGUUGUAAAGCUCUUUCGCAAGGGAAGAAAACUUAUCCUCUAACAUAGGGUGAGGUUGACGGUACCUUGAUAAGAAGCACCGGCUAACUACGUGCCAGCAGCCGCGGUAAUACGUAGGGUGCGAGCGUUAAUCGGAAUUACUGGGCGUAAAGCGUGCGCAGGCUGUUUUGUAAGUCAGAUGUGAAAUCCCCGAGCUCAACUUGGGAACUGCGUUUGAAACUACAAGACUAGAAUAUGUCAGAGGGGGGUAGAAUUCCAUGUGUAGCAGUGAAAUGCGUAGAGAUGUGGAGGAAUACCAAUGGCGAAGGCAGCCCCCUGGGAUAAUAUUGACGCUCAUGCACGAAAGCGUGGGGAGCAAACAGGAUUAGAUACCCUAGUAGUC